rnacentral:lncRNA from 1 species
GGACCAGAAAGAACGCUUCGUGACAGAAAAAGGCAUCCAGGAAACAGGAAACAAGAACAGAAACUGCUUUACUUGUUUCUGAACCUCCUGGCCUUGUGUGUCUGCUGCGGUGGAGUCACACCUGAGAAAAAUUCCAGAACCUGCGACAGCAAAGACAAGACCUCAGCUCCAGUGACCCCCCCCACUCCUGCCACCUCAACUUCUACAAACUCUGAUGUAAAGACACCCCCCAGCCCCCUCCAAGUCUCACAGUCUGAGGACUGUGAUUUGAACGAUGGAUGUGAUUCGAACAAGCAAGCGGAACCGACUGUGAUUCAGCCUAACGAUUCCAGCUGCAAAAAUCUGUGGAAAAGCCACAAGCCCACUCCAGUGACAGACCCUGUCUCUGCAGUACAUGAAGACCCUGAAAAAGGACACACAACUCCGGUUGAACAGUUUCCAGGGCCAGUGUCACCAGAGGCUCCACGGGCUAAUGAGAGACCCCCAACCACGAAGUGGGCUGAUGUUCCUGUCAAGAAGCCCAUCAGACCAGUUACUGCACCCCCUCCAGUGAGUGAGAGAGUCACAGUGCUGCCUGGACUCCCUGCUACUGCAAGUCCUUAUAUCGGCACUGUCUCUACCAGAGAUCCUGUAAUCUACACCGUUUGCUUCUUUACAUAGGUUAAACAUAUAUAUAUAUAUUACAGACAAUCAAACCUUUUAAAAUAUUACCAAUGCAACAGUUGGUUCUGGUUGGUGAAGAAAUUCCAGCCCCAGGACUUAUUGGCCUCCCAGUGGUGAGGAGCACAAAAAGACCGAGUUCCAGACCUCCUCGACUACAGGACACAGGACCCUCUGCUAAAGUAAACACCUUUAUUAAAGCUGUCUAUGCCAUAGGGUUCUCCUGGAAGAGAGCAGACUUUUGAAAAUGCCAUGUAAAAAAGAUGCGGAAGAAAGCAGGUUUCCUAUUGGCAUUCCCCUGUCAAGCGAGGUCCUCUCUUGUCUUCCUGGUCACUUUGCAGAUAGACUGGCAGCUUCCAGGAGUGCCCAUUCCUUCCCCCACCUCCUGGCAAGAGGAUGGCGAGGAAGAUGCUGACAGUGAGAAGGUGAACAUGGUUUCGAGUUCUCAGACACAAGAAGAGCUUCGUGUCUCCCAGAAGUCUCUCAGCAGCACGGACUCUUCUGAGGAGGGCUCAUACGUCCUGUGGGCUGAUGUCAACUCAGAGGAAACAGAGCUGUGAAAGAAACACGUGUUUUAAAAAUAGUCAAUAAAAGCAUCUCAAAAGAAAUGCGGAUUCACUUUUUUUUUCCCAUUAUGAAAUAUCUCUAAGAAACUAUGUAUUUUCACUUAUUUCCAUGUGAAUUUUCUACUGACAGUAUCUUCUAGCUGAUGUUGAUCAAGU